rnacentral:rRNA from 1 species
UGCAAGUCGAACGGAAAGGCCCCUUCGGGGGUGCUCGAGUGGCGAACGGGUGAGUAACACGUGGGUGAUCUGCCCUGCACUCUGGGAUAAGCCUGGGAAACUGGGUCUAAUACCGGAUAGGACCGCGCAUCGCAUGGUGUGUGGUGGAAAGCUUUUGCGGUGUGGGAUGGGCCCGCGGCCUAUCAGCUUGUUGGUGGGGUUAUGGCCUACCAAGGCGACGACGGGUAGCCGGCCUGAGAGGGUGUCCGGCCACACUGGGACUGAGAUACGGCCCAGACUCCUACGGGAGGCAGCAGUGGGGAAUAUUGCACAAUGGGCGGAAGCCUGAUGCAGCGACGCCGCGUGAGGGAUGACGGCCUUCGGGUUGUAAACCUCUUUCAGCCUCGACGAAGCGAAAGUGACGGUAGGGGCAGAAGAAGCACCGGCCAACUACGUGCCAGCAGCCG